GAAUUUCUUCUGCCUCUCCAAGGGGAUACAGCUUUGCUGGCCCUGACAGCCAUGUGGGGGUGUCCAAUGACUGCUGAGGAGCUGUGCUUCCAGUGGCCUCUGGUCCAGUCUGUUCAACUCAAGAUGGUAUGAGCAGCGGGCUCCGUCAGCAGGCCUGAGCUGGACACACGUGACACCAGUCACCAUGCAGAACAAGGAGUUCCUGCCCUUGAAACCCACAGGUCAUCAACAUCUUUGCAUCUGGCCUCUUCUACGACUGGGUAUUUUCCAAUCAUCCACUGCCUGCAACUUCUCUCCCGGAAGUCACAGUUGCCAACUGAAAACUUCCAAAGGGGUGAAGAGAAACCCCUCUCUGAACCUAAAUAAAAACAGAGAUCACCUUUGCCAGAGAAAGGGCGCCUGCUCAGAAGCUCUGAUUUCAAAUUAUGAAGAGCACAGAGCCACAGUCCAGGCUUAGGAGUGACGCUGGUAAAUGGUGGUGGUGGUUUCACUUUGUGUUUUUCCUCCCCAGUAAAUUCUACUAUCCUGUU